CGAAGGGGUCCCACACUGCUGCCUCUAUUCUGAGCACGUUUUGGUGCCAACUAAUGGCAACAAAUGAAAUUGCAGAUUGAGGCCCUAUGAGAGCUCAGAUGAAGACAUUUCACAUUAGGAUGAACACCUAGGGAAAGCAG